rnacentral:tRNA from 1 species
AGGCCAGUAGCUCAACUGGUAGAGUACCGGUCUCCAAAACCGGGUGUUGGGGGUUCAAGUCCCUCCUGGCCUGCCA